CUAGCUUGCUAGAUGCUGACGAGUGGCGCACGGGUGCGUAACGCGUAUACAAUCUACCUUUAACUGAGGGAUAGCCCAGAGAAAUUUGGAUUAAUACCUCAUAGUAUUAUAAUUAGGCAUCUUUUUAUAAUUAAAACUUCGGUGGUUAAAGAUGAGUAUGCGUACUAUUAGCUAGUUGGUAAGGUAAAAGCUUACCAAGGCAACGAUAGUUAGGGGGCCUGAAAGGGUGAUCCCCCACACUGGUACUGAGACACGGACCAGACUCCUACGGGAGGCAGCAGUGAGGAAUAUUGCACAAUGGAGGAAACUCUGAUGCAGCCAUGCCGCGUGCAGGAAGAAUGCCCUAUGGGUUGUAAACUGCUUUUAUACAAGAAGAAACCUCGGUACGUGUACCGACUUGACGGUAUUGUAUGAAUAAGCACCGGCUAACUCCGUGCCAGCAGCCGCGGUAAUACGGAGGGUGCAAGCGUUAUCCGGAUUUAUUAGGUUUAAAGGGUCCGCAGGCGGAAUAUUAAGUCAGUGGUGAAAGCCUACAGCUCAACUGUA
rnacentral:rRNA from 1 species